GAUUUUUAUAUAAAUUUUAUUUUAUAAAUAUAGGAUAAAUUGAUUUUUAAAUAUUAUUUAUAUUAUAUUGGGGUAAUAAUAAAAUUUAUAGAAUUUUUAUUUUUUAUAAACAAUUUUGAUUGAUUGAUUGAUCCAUUAUUAAUGAUUAUAAGUUUAAGUUACCUUAGGGAUAACAGCGUAAUGAUUUUUGAGAGUUCUUAUCGAUAAAAUAGAUUGC
rnacentral:rRNA from 1 species